rnacentral:tRNA from 7 species
GGCGCAUUAGCUCAGCUGGUUAGAGCGACGGAAUCAUAAUCCGCAGGUCCCCUGUUCGAAUCAGGGAUGCGCCACCA